AGUCAGAGGCGAUGAAGGACGUGCUAAUCUGCGAUAAGCGUCGGUAAGGUGAUAUGAACCGUUAUAACCGGCGAUUUCCGAAUGGGGAAACCCAGUGUGUUUCGACACACUAUCAUUAACUGAAUCCAUAGGUUAAUGAGGCGAACCGGGGGAACUGAAACAUCUAAGUACCCCGAGGAAAAGAAAUCAACCGAGAUUCCCCCAGUAGCGGCGAGCGAACGGGGAGCAGCCCAGAGCCUGAAUCAGUGUGUGUGUUAGUGGAAGCGUCUGGAAAGGCGCGCGAUACAGGGUGACAGCCCCGUACACAAAAAUGCACAUGCUGUGAGCUCGAUGAGUAGGGCGGGACACGUGGUAUCCUGUCUGAAUAUGGGGGGACCAUCCUCCAAGGCUAAAUACUCCUGACUGACCGAUAGUGAACCAGUACCGUGAGGGAAAGGCGAAAAGAACCCCGGCGAGGGGAGUGAAAAAGAACCUGAAACCGUGUACGUACAAGCAGUGGGAGCACGCUUAGGCGUGUGACUGCGUACCUUUUGUAUAAUGGGUCAGCGACUUAUAUUCUGUAGCAAGGUUAACCGAAUAGGGGAGCCGAAGGGAAACCGAGUCUUAACUGGGCGUUAAGUUGCAGGGUAUAGACCCGAAACCCGGUGAUCUAGCCAUGGGCAGGUUGAAGGUUGGGUAACACUAACUGGAGGACCGAACCGACUAAUGUUGAAAAAUUAGCGGAUGACUUGUGGCUGGGGGUGAAAGGCCAAUCAAACCGGGAGAUAGCUGGUUCUCCCCGAAAGCUAUUUAGGUAGCGCCUCGUGAAUUCAUCUCCGGGGGUAGAGCACUGUUUCGGCAAGGGGGUCAUCCCGACUUACCAACCCGAUGCAAACUGCGAAUACCGGAGAAUGUUAUCACGGGAGACACACGGCGGGUGCUAACGUCCGUCGUGAAGAGGGAAACAACCCAGACCGCCAGCUAAGGUCCCAAAGUCAUGGUUAAGUGGGAAACGAUGUGGGAAGGCCCAGACAGCCAGGAUGUUGGCUUAGAAGCAGCCAUCAUUUAAAGAAAGCGUAAUAGCUCACUGGUCGAGUCGGCCUGCGCGGAAGAUGUAACGGGGCUAAACCAUGCACCGAAGCUGCGGCAGCGACGCUGAUGCGUUGUUGGGUAGGGGAGCGUUCUGUAAGCCUGCGAAGGUGUGCUGUGAGGCAUGCUGGAGGUAUCAGAAGUGCGAAUGCUGACAUAAGUAACGAUAAAGCGGGUGAAAAGCCCGCUCGCCGGAAGACCAAGGGUUCCUGUCCAACGUUAAUCGGGGCAGGGUGAGUCGACCCCUAAGGCGAGGCCGAAAGGCGUAGUCGAUGGGAAACAGGUUAAUAUUCCUGUACUUGGUGUUACUGCGAAGGGGGGACGGAGAAGGCUAUGUUGGCCGGGCGACGGUUGUCCCGGUUUAAGCGUGUAGGCUGGUUUUCCAGGCAAAUCCGGAAAAUCAAGGCUGAGGCGUGAUGACGAGGCACUACGGUGCUGAAGCAACAAAUGCCCUGCUUCCAGGAAAAGCCUCUAAGCAUCAGGUAACAUCAAAUCGUACCCCAAACCGACACAGGUGGUCAGGUAGAGAAUACCAAGGCGCUUGAGAGAACUCGGGUGAAGGAACUAGGCAAAAUGGUGCCGUAACUUCGGGAGAAGGCACGCUGAUAUGUAGGUGAGGUCCCUCGCGGAUGGAGCUGAAAUCAGUCGAAGAUACCAGCUGGCUGCAACUGUUUAUUAAAAACACAGCACUGUGCAAACACGAAAGUGGACGUAUACGGUGUGACGCCUGCCCGGUGCCGGAAGGUUAAUUGAUGGGGUUAGCGCAAGCGAAGCUCUUGAUCGAAGCCCCGGUAAACGGCGGCCGUAACUAUAACGGUCCUAAGGUAGCGAAAUUCCUUGUCGGGUAAGUUCCGACCUGCACGAAUGGCGUAAUGAUGGCCAGGCUGUCUCCACCCGAGACUCAGUGAAAUUGAACUCGCUGUGAAGAUGCAGUGUACCCGCGGCAAGACGGAAAGACCCCGUGAACCUUUACUAUAGCUUGACACUGAACAUUGAGCCUUGAUGUGUAGGAUAGGUGGGAGGCUUUGAAGUGUGGACGCCAGUCUGCAUGGAGCCGACCUUGAAAUACCACCCUUUAAUGUUUGAUGUUCUAACGUUGACCCGUAAUCCGGGUUGCGGACAGUGUCUGGUGGGUAGUUUGACUGGGGCGGUCUCCUCCUAAAGAGUAACGGAGGAGCACGAAGGUUGGCUAAUCCUGGUCGGACAUCAGGAGGUUAGUGCAAUGGCAUAAGCCAGCUUGACUGCGAGCGUGACGGCGCGAGCAGGUGCGAAAGCAGGUCAUAGUGAUCCGGUGGUUCUGAAUGGAAGGGCCAUCGCUCAACGGAUAAAAGGUACUCCGGGGAUAACAGGCUGAUACCGCCCAAGAGUUCAUAUCGACGGCGGUGUUUGGCACCUCGAUGUCGGCUCAUCACAUCCUGGGGCUGAAGUAGGUCCCAAGGGUAUGGCUGUUCGCCAUUUAAAGUGGUACGCGAGCUGGGUUUAGAACGUCGUGAGACAGUUCGGUCCCUAUCUGCCGUGGGCGCUGGAGAACUGAGGGGGGCUGCUCCUAGUACGAGAGGACCGGAGUGGACGCAUCACUGGUGUUCGGGUUGUCAUGCCAAUGGCACUGCCCGGUAGCUAAAUGCGGAAGAGAUAAGUGCUGAAAGCAUCUAAGCACGAAACUUGCCCCGAGAUGAGUUCUCCCUGACCCUUUAAGGGUCCUGAAGGAACGUUGAAGACGACGACGUUGAUAGGCCGGGUGUGUAAGCGCAGCGAUGCGUUGAGCUAACCGGUACUAAUGAACCGUGAGGCUUAACCUU
rnacentral:rRNA from 1 species